CAAUGAUUUUCUUCCCAACUAUUAAGAAGAGAAAUAAUGUGAAAGAGGAAUCUUUUCUGAGACAUGUUCACAAGCAGUGUGCCGGUUUGGACAAAAAAUUCUAUGGUCAUCCUAACUGAAGAUCAGGAUGGCUGAUUAAAUAAUAAAAAGCAUAUAUGUUCUCAUCUGGUGUGGACUGCAAACGUGUUUGGAUGGCAAAGAUAAAUCUUGCCAAGUUUCACCCAUGUGCAACUAAGCUCAUCGACUGAUUGACUCUUGGCUGGCUAGAAUCUUGGGCAGCCCAACUCAGACUGUUUGCAACCAGACUUCUCAGCUUUGGUGUUGUAAAAACUGAAGGCAGCUAAUCCCAGAGAAGCAUUUACAAUUUGCCCAAUGAGCCAAAAGAACUUAAUUUGACUCUCUCUUGUUUGGUUACUUUCUCCUCUCGCCUUAUUAUCAAGUCCUGUACUGCUCAAUUCAGUGACCACUAGCCAUAUGUGGCUACUGAGCACUUGAAAUGUGGCUAGUUUGAACUGAGAUGUGCUCUAAGUACACUGGAUUUUGAAGACUUUGUACAAAAAAAAAGUAAACUAUCCCAUUAAUAAUUUUUGUAUUGAUUACAUAUUAAAAUGGUAAUAUUUC
rnacentral:lncRNA from 1 species